CACAUGUGAGUUGGUGGAGGUGAAAUUGAGUUUUCCGCGUAAAAAGCAGCCUUCUCUGACCACAAUCCGGCCAGGAAUCCGGCCACAAAUCCGGCCAAAUUCCGGCCGGAUUGCUACAGUAAAUCUAGGCUGCUACAGUGAUCCGAGCUGCUACAGUACCUCGGAUCCAUACGGAUCCGAGCUCGGAUCCACUAACCCAGAAACAGCCGAGGGUUCGGAUGAAUAGUGGAUCCGAGUGUGGAUCACUUGCUCUGUUUUUGGCCCAAUUUCAACCGAUCUUUUCUUGAUGUUAGAGGCUGAACCAGCUCAUGUCUAAAACACGAAAGUUGUAGCCUUAUGCGUUAUCAUUCAAAUGCAUCAAGAAUCACCUCAUUUGGAUCUGUGUAGGCUGAGAUAUGAUGGAAAUACCCUUGCCUGCUCCAUGCCUUGUUCCAGUUUCGACCAAUAGCAAUUGACUCUGUACUUCGGCUUUUUGACCUGGAAAACCUUCAAACUGGAUUCAGAUGUCUUCAUCAAAGUUGUAGAUCUAUCUCUUAUCUUCAAAUGGAUUCAAGAAUCAUCCCAAUCCGAUCAUUGUAGCUCAAGUUAUAGCUGAAAUACGAAAAUGUGUCAAAACUAUCAAAAUACACAAAAUCCAAGUAAAAAGUGAUAAAAACCUCAUUUAAUUGAACAAAAGCAUUUUAUACCAAUUAUAGCCAAAAUGAAUCAUUUUCUUCCAAUAAUAUACCCAAAGUGACUAAAAAUAAUAUAAAAUAUCAUACAAUUAUUACGUAAAUUAGUCACUUAUCAAACUCCCCCACACUUAAAUCAUUGCUUGUCCUCAAGCAAUUCACACAUAAUCAAAUGCAAUGAUUCAAGAGGUGAAACAAUAUAUGCACUUUGUCCAAUUUAAUUCCUCAAGACUUGGAAAAUAAUCAUUAUACAAUUAUUCAAUUUACACUAAAUACUCAUAAUAUCAAGUAAAGGAAAGAUAAUUAUACCCUAAAUUCAACAAAUUAAACUUAAUCUCUUACCCUAACUUAAUUUUACAAAUAAGCAAAUCACAUAGUCAAUUUAUAGCUUUCCUCCUCCUAUAAUCAUCUUUUUCUCAAAAUUCUAUAACUAAGAGGGAUUUAUUCAUACAAAUUUUACUUACAUAGUGAGAAUGUCUUUUUACGCGAAAAUCGACACUUUUAGGUGAAGAUCCCCGGUUACUCAACAUUUCACUUAUUCAAGUUGCUAAUGCAUACUCUUAAUUCAAGUACCUUUUUACGCGAAUGUCGACAUUUGUAGAUGCCAACGCCCGGUUACUCGGUACGAGAAUCAUUGGAGUAGAACAAUUUUUACUUUCUUUUCUUUUCUCUUUUUUUUCUUUUUUUUUUCUUUUUUUUUCUUUUUCAGAAAUAAAGGACAAUAAAUAGAUAUUCCCUCUUAGAAAAUAUAUAAGAAUAAUCAAAGGAGGAAUAUAACAUUUAUCGACUAUAUCAAUCACUUACUUGCAAAAUUAAGUAAAGAGAAGAAAUCUCAUUAAACAUGUAAAAUUAUAGGCAUAAUUUUCCUCACUUUACCAAAUAUACUUUCUAAAAUGUAAAAAUUCUAAUUGCGUAAUAAACAUUUCCAAGUUAAAUGAGGACUAAACCUUCCAAAAUACAUAUAACAUUUCAACAAUUGGAAGAAUAAGGUUGGAACAAUUAGCCCUUUUUGAAUGAAAAUGCAAGAAUUUGAAGAACUUUUGGGCCAUAGUGAAAUAUUGGAAAAGAUUUUAGAAAAAAUUUUACAGAGUUUCUCCUUAUAAAUGGAUGAAAACUCCCUGCCAACAAACCCAAUUUCAAGCAAAUUAUCCACAUGGCAAACAUUUCAAACACAAUUCCAACAUUUCUAAGCAUUUAAAUCCACAAAAUAUCAUCACAUGGCAAGUAAAGUUCAAAUAUUUCCUCCCCCACACUUAAACUUCACAUCGUCCUCAAUGUGAGAAAAGGAAAAUAAAUAGAGAGUAAAAGAAAAUACUCCCCUUAUGACUUGCGCGAUCCAAAUCCAUGGCAAUGUGAUGAAUUUCCAACCGUAUUUGAGAAAGAAUGGAGAGUUCACUUAUUGCACCCUGAAAAAGACAAAAUCAAAACAAAUAAAUUUCUUAAAAAUAAAAGCUUGCAAUCAACAAGAAGAAAACAUGCAAGUCAAGGAAAAAGGAAAAAUGAUCAAGCAUGUGGAACCAUACAAUGUUCAAGGGAUAAAGACAUGAAAUGAGCUAAUCCUUGCUAAUCAAAUAUAUACAUUAGUAUCCAAAGCAAAGGGAUGCUAAUUUCACAAAAUAAGCCCACCAUUAUGAACAAAGUAAGUUCCUUUUAUACAUUUUGUCAUCAAUGAUCAAGUUCCCUCAAGUACAAAAGUAAUCUCAAAAUGGAGGCGAACACACCAAGCCAAAAUAUAAAUGACCUUCUUGAGAAUUCAUGAAAUACUAGAAACCAUUGAACCACAAGGAUUAUAAGCGCAUUUAUGAAUUUCAUCAAUUAAGGUCAUCUUCAAUUCACCUCUUCUUUUAGAAUUACCUAAGAAUUCAAGAAAUUAUUCAACCAAGCCCCUUUUCAUUCAUUAGGUAAUCUAAAUUACUCACAUGAAUAUCAUAAACUCCCACAAAGCUAAUUAAAAUGCUACAUUGGCCACUUAAUAUGCAACUUUGUCACCAAGCCAAAUUAGGCAUAAAUUUAGCAAAAAUUCACCAAAUAAUCACAAACUCAUGAGUUAAACAUCACCAAUAAUCAUCAAUAAGUUCAAUAAGCACAAUGUAAAGCACCAAACUUCACAAAAUAAAAAAAAUUUGAAAUUGCCCCAAAAAUAAAAAAAAAAUAAAAAUUGGCAAAAUUCAAAUGACAACAUUUGGUGAAGAUUUGUUACCUCAAACUUGUUGGUUGAUGAUUAUGGAUGCAAAUGGUGAAGAAACCCCCAAAAAUUUCACUCCAAUUCGGCCUCAAAUGGAUAGUUCAAAAAUUUGAAACCCUUGUUCUUGCUAAGCUCAAAUCCGAAUUUAGACUUGUUUUUGAAGAAUUUUUAGCUAUGAAAUCAUCUCUCAAGUGAAAAAGAAGUGUUUUGGUAUACUUGGUUUGAAGAUUGGAUGGUGAAAAGAGUGAGUUUAGUGAGUAGUGUGUGUUUUAGGUGUGAGUGCGUGUGUAAGUUGAAGAAGAGAGGAAAAAAAAAUUUCUGAUUGCAGAAGUGGAUCCGAGGCCUCGGAUCCAUAUGGAUCUGAGCUCGGAUCCGUGGCACGAAGUUUUCUCUGAUUGCAGAAGUGGAUCCGAGGCCUUGGAUCCAUAUGGAUCCGAGCUCGGAUCCGUGGAUUCUGCAUUUAUUGCAGAAAUUUCUGCAAUUUUUAGUUUGGCCCCAACUUGAAACACACUCUCUAAUUCGUGCUCUACAAUGAAAUUUUGAACAAUUCAACACUUUACACACAUAGAAAGUGACUUAAACAUGAAUCUCAACACCUCAAAUCAAAUCAAAAACAUGUAGAAUCCAAAUUGAGGGUUGAAGUUCUUGGAUCGAAUAGUCCCCUCGACACUUCCAAAGCACAUGAUGGUGCUCAAAUGGUUCAAAAGAGUGCAAAUAGGUCAUGAACACAUUUAAACACUUGAAUGCACUUCAACUUCAUUCAAAUGACUAACUUAACCUCAUAACAUAAAAUUAAGCAUUGUAAAACUCAAAAAAUAAAGGUUAAGCUUCCCUUUUUCGCAUUAGUCUCCACUCCUUAUAAACUCCUUUGCACUUGAAAUAAUUCGCAUGAUUCCUUGUCAUUGCUACCUACAAAACACACAAAAACAUUAAUCAAACAACCAAAACUUACUAAAAACAAGAAAUCGUUGGGUUGCCUCCCAACAAGCGCUUCUUUAUAGUCAUUAGCUUGACUAUAUCACCUCAUUUUUCAAGGAGGUUUAGUUAACGAAUAAUCCACCAUUUUAGGUCGUGGUGGAUCAUUAAAAGGUGACUUUAUAGCAAAAGCCACAAGAUCUAAUGAUGUGAGAAAUGGAAGUAGCUUACCUAUUCCAAGUGUUUCAUAGAUAUUACCUUGAAUAUGCACCACUUGAGAACUUACCAAAGGAAAUGUCAUGAGAGUAUCUUGAGCAGGAAUACCUUUAGAACCUAUACUUUCAAUGCACUCCUCAAGAGGGGUGAAAAAUGAGUCAUUAAAACUCACCUCUUGAGGUUCAAAGUUAGUUCCAAAGAUAUUAUCAUGUGAAAUGGAUAUUUGCUCAUUAAAACACUCUUGAGAUUCAUCAUUUUCAUCAAAAUGCAACCCAUUUUCACAUACAACAUUCCCACCAUUCAUGCUAGGAUCAUUUUGCACAUUAUUAGAGGAAAUAACUUCACACAAUGCACUCAAUUGCUCAUGUAUUUGACCAAAGUGAGAAGCUAAUUCAUCUAUUCUUUCCUCAAUCCUAUCAAAACGGUCGAAAGUUGCAUUUGCUAGCUUUUCUAAUGUUAAAUCAAAUUGAUUAGAAAAAUUUUCUACAGCUAGCUCCCAAGAUGCAUUAGAAUCAUUAGCUAAUGGUUCACUUUCUAACUCCCAAGGCAAAAAUGCAUUAGCUAGCCUUUCUAUUGCCAACUCCCAAGAUGGUUUUGAUUCAUAUUGGACACUUUCAGGUUGGUAAUCAUAAAAACAUGAAUUAUCACUAUAAGUACAUUGAUUAUUCCAACCAUAAGCAGGAGAAUUGCUCCAAUUAGCACUAUAUUGAUCAAAACAAGGAUUGUAAUGCUCUAAUUCAUCAUAAUGAUCCACAUUUUGUGCUUGCAUACAUGUAUUAGUAGCAUGAUAACCUCUACACAAGUCACAAAUCACAUGAUAAGAAUUAAAAACAUUAACAUUCCUCCUCUGCUCAAUUUCAUGCAUCAUGGUGUCCAUUUGAACUUGUAACUUAAUUACAUCAAAUUUUGCCUUUAAGCACCUUAAACCAUCUUCAAAAGACAUACAUUCAGUAAAUUCUUGGUUACCUCUGUUGAAGGAGCUUUGCACUAGGCAACCAUCCAUUUCCAAUCUUCCACUUCUCAAGCAUUGUUCUCCAAAUUGACCUACCCUUCUCAUCACCUAAAAUUGCUUUUAAACAACCUUAAAAGCAAAAUUAGUAAGAAAAAUAGGUAAUGAAACACAUACACAUAAAAUACAAAAAUAACAGAAAAUAACAUUCACAUUAUAACUAAUAUUAUGUCUAAACUAAUAAAGUUGCUCUUCACACCGAUAUUACCAAAUCUUCCCCGGCAACGGCACCAAAAAUUUGACGGGUAUUUUACAUACGUGCAAGCUAAAAAAUACCGAAUUACACCCGUUCACUGCAAGUAUACAGAUCAACUAGUAGUUUAGGGUAUAUAUCGGGUCGAUCCCACAGGGAAGAGUGAACAAUUACCGGUCUUACUAAAGCUUCUCUAUUAUUUAGACUAUCAAUGAAUUAUAACAAGUAAAACUUACUGAACUUAUGCAAGAAAAUAACAAAUGAAAGCUCCUUAGGUUGUGGUAUCCCUAACUACUCAUGCAAGUGCUAUUUUUGGAUCCUUGAGUACUACAUCUAAGCUAGUUAUGGUGUAAUUUCCUUAAACAUGUGAAACCUACUUUCGUAGUGAAUCAACUAUACUCAUAACUAAUCCAUACCUAUUUUCAUGGUUAUGAAAUUAGCUACAAGUUCAUUUCUUCAAUGAAAUUACAUGAAAUGAAUCACUAAAAACCACAUAAGUGCACCUCUACUUUCGUGAGUGUACUCCCUAUGUUUAGCACCUCUUGAACUAGUGUUAAAUCUCAAUUUUCAUUGCAAAAACAACACCUUAGAUAAUCACAAUCAAUGGUACCAAAUUAAUCAUGAUUUAAAGAGCUAAAGUGCUAAAUAACUUGCUCAAAUCUUAGCAAACAAAUAACCAAAUAAUAAAUACUAACAAUCAUAGAAAGUUCAACCAAACCCAAAGUAUAAACUUUAGAAGCACAUAAUGAACACAAAAUCCAGAACUUGUAUAUUAACUAAACUUGGAAUCAAAUACAAAAGAUAAAGAGUUUGGAAGGAAUACAACCCUUGUCACAUGAGCUUUCUUCCUUGUCUUCUUCAUCCUCCAUCUUCAUCCUAAUCUAGAUAAUAAACAAGAAUGGAAAAGCUACACUACUCUAUACUAAGCUAAACUAACACUAGGGAGAUGAAAGAGCUACAUUUCUGCAGACUCCAAGCUUCUCCCGUAGCUCCCUCUCUUCUAUUUUUCUGCUAUGGACUCCCAAUCUCUGCUAUCUACUCCCCUCUCUUCUCUCUUGUUACAAUGAAUUUGGCUCUUUAAUGAUGAAAGGUUGGUCAAGAAAUGAUGUUUUCAACUCCCUUUUACAGCUGGGAAUGUUUCUCACAUGUGAGUUGGUGGAGGUGAAAUUGAGUUUUCCGCGUAAAAAGCAGCCUUCUCUGACCACAAUCCGGCCAGGAAUCCGGCCACAAAUCCGGCCAAAUUCCGGCCGGAUUGCUACAGUAAAUCUAGGCUGCUACAGUGAUCCGAGCUGCUACAGUACCUCGGAUCCACUAACCCAGAAACAGCCGAGGGUUCGGAUGAAUAGUGGAUCCGAGUGUGGAUCACUUGCUCUGUUUUUGGCCCAAUUUCAACCGAUCUUUUCUUGAUGUUAGAGGCUGAACCAGCUCAUGUCUAAAACACGAAAGUUGUAGCCUU
rnacentral:lncRNA from 1 species